rnacentral:misc_RNA from 1 species
GAUGAAGAACGUAGUGAAAUGCGAUACUUGGUGUGAAUUGCAGAAUCCCGUGAACCAUCGAGUCUUUGAACGCAAGUUGCGCCCGAAGCCAUCAGGUUGAGGGCACGUCUGCCUGGGCGUCACAUAUCGUUGCCCAAUGCCUAUUGCAGUGCAAUAGGAAUUUCUAGGGCGAAUGAUGGCUUCCCGUGAGCGUUGUUGCCUCGCGGUUGGUUGAAAAUCGAGUCCUUGGUAGGGUGUGCCAUGGUAGAUGGUGGUCGAGUUAGAACGAUACCGAUCAUGUGCAUGCUCCCCAAAAUAUGGCCUCUAUGACCCACACGCGUCUUUUGACGCUCAUGACGAGACCUCAGGUCAGGCGGGGCUACCAGCUGAAUUUAAGCAUAUCAAUAAGCGGAGGA